rnacentral:rRNA from 1 species
CCUACGGGGGGCUGCAGCAAGGAAUUUUCCCCAAUGGGCGCAAGCCUGAGGGAGCAACGCCGCGUGCAGGAUGACGGCCUUCGGGUUGUAAACUGCUUUUGAGAAGGACGAAAAGGACGGUACUUCUCGAAUAAGCCCCGGCUAACUCCGUGCCAGCAGCCGCGGUAAGACGGAGGGGGCAAGCGUUGUCCGGACUCACUGGGCGUAAAGCGUCCGUAGGUGGUUCGAUGCGUCGGUGCUGAAAGUGUCCCGCUUAACGGGAUAAGGCGUGCCGA